AAAUCAUGUGAAAGAAGGAGGUUGCAAAGUGGUUAUUCUGCUACAGAAAGCUGCCUCAAACUGCUCUUCUAGUCAACGUCAUCAGCCUACCUAACCUGAACAAUUUGGAGUGAUGAUGCAGAAUUGUCUGUGUAAGAAGUUGCAUCUAUUUUGUGGUCUCUCCUGAUUAGCUUGCCCUGGCCUUAAUUUUCAUUCUGCCGGAGAAAAACAAGAUUGCUCUCCUGAGCUUUCUCGACUUCAGCAAAUUGAGCUGAUCCCCCUACUUGCAGGAAGGACCUUGUCAGAGGCCACUGCUUGAAUUUUCCCAGAAUUAGAAUAGUUUUUUGUGAAACAACAGCAACAACACUCGCUCAGCCAGAUGGAAAGUGAAGAGACACAUCAUUUGGAUACCUGUCUGCAUCUCUGUUGAAGAAACUAGCACGUGUGCAGUUCUCAAGGGGGCAGAGGAGGAACAAAGCCUUGCCAUCAAGUCGGUUCCAGCAGACAGAAAUCAAUAUUUCCUGCAGAAUUCUUCUAGCGCUAUCAGGAAAGUGACAAUACAGAUAUCAUCAGUUUAGAUGAGAAGAAAGGGGUGAUAGUAGAACAUGGAAGAAGUGAAUAUAUUAAGACAAAGUACAAAGUAACAUAACCAGCCAGCCAGACCUAGAGAAAGCCAUGCUGCAUGUGAAACCUGUGUCCUAGGAUAUUACUUAGGCUUCACAGGCAGCAAAGAGAGACGCACAACCAUCCAGCCUUUCUCUGCAACUGGAGUGAAUUGAUCUCCAAGCAUGCUAAUACAUCCCCUAAAUUUUAUGAGAAAGUUUUCCAGUACUUCCAACAAAUGCCAACAACAUACAAGACCUGGAGGCUUAGUAGCUAGGUGUGAUAUGGACAUUGCAUCUUAAUUUUAACAUUUGAAUAAGCUUAUAUCUCUGGCUAGUCAGCCACCUGUCAAGACUUUUUUUUUAAAAAAAAAUAGCCCUCAGGAAAGCCUGGAAAAUGAAGUAUACAGACCUACAAACACAGAAUAAAUUAAGCAAAGACUUUUACCAAGCCCAUUUGCUGUAAGCACAGCAGCAGUAAUUUCUCUUCAGAUGCACUAUUAGCCCUUCAUGCUCUCAGUUGCUUUUCUGUCGAUUAAAAAGGAAAUGUUGGCCCAGAGAUGCUGACAAGGUUUGAGAUAAUGAGGUUUUGAAAGGCUCAG
ensembl:lncRNA